rnacentral:tRNA from 1 species
GCCCCGGUAGCUCAAUUGGAUAGAGCAUCAGAUUUCGAAUCUGAGGGUUACAGGUUCGAACCCUGUCCGAGGCACCA